GGUCUCGCUCUCUCGCUCGCUUCCCCCGGCUCCCUUCGGUGCCCCCCCCGGUCGCCUGCGUGCCGGAGUGUGUGCAAGGGAGGGGGAGGGCGUCGGGGGGGUGGGGGGAGGCCUUCCAGUCCCCGGGAGAUCCGCGGAAGGAGGCGGAGGCUGCGAGGGGCUCCGUGAAGCCAUGGACGUCGAGAGGCUGCAGGAGGCGCUGAAAGAUUUUGAGAAGAGGGGGAAAAAGGAAGUUUGUCCGGUCCUGGAUCAGUUUCUUUGUCAUGUAGCCAAGACUGGAGAAACAAUGAUUCAGUGGUCCCAGUUUAAAGGCUAUUUUAUUUUCAAACUGGAGAAAGUGAUGGAUGAUUUCAGAACUUCAGCUCCUGAACCAAGAGGUCCUCCCAACCCUAAUGUCGAAUAUAUUCCCUUUGAUGAAAUGAAGGAAAGGAUACUGAAAAUUGUCACUGGAUUUAAUGGUAUACCUUUUACUAUUCAGCGACUAUGUGAAUUGCUCACAGAUCCAAGGAGAAACUAUACAGGAACAGACAAAUUUCUCAGAGGAGUAGAAAAGAAUGUGAUGGUGGUUAGCUGUGUUUAUCCUUCUUCAGAGAAGAACAGUUCCAAUAGUUUAAAUCGAAUGAAUGGUGUUAUGUUUCCUGGAAAUUCACCAAGUUACACUGAAAGGUCUAAUAUAAAUGGACCUGGAACACCCAGGCCACUUAAUCGACCAAAGGUUUCUUUGUCAGUCCCCAUGACAACAAAUGGCUUACCUGAGAGCACAGACAGCAAAGAGUCAAACUUAAAGCAAAAUGAGGAUAAAAAUCACAGUGACUCUUCGACAUCUGAAUCAGAAGGUUCCUCAGUGAGCCCUAUAAAAAAUAAACAUCCAGAUGAAGAUGCUGUGGAAGCUGAGGGACGUGAGGUAAAAAGACUCAGGUUUGACAAAGAAAGCGACGUCAGAGAGAUGGCCAGUCAGACAUCUUCCAGUGAAAUUUCUUCAGUUAUGGUAGAAGAAACAGAAGCUCCAUCUUCAUCUCAGAAUAACGACAAAGAAAUUAGUUGUACCAGGCAGCACUGUACAGAAGAGGAUGAAGAAGAGGAUGAAGAGGAAGAAGAGUCUUUUAUGACAUCAAGAGAAAUGAUCCCAGAAAGGAAAAAUCAAGAAAAAGAAUCUGAUGAUGCCUUAACUGUGAAUGAAGAGACUUCUGAGGAAAAUAAUCAAAUGGAGGAAUCUGAUCUGACUCAAGUUGAGAGAGGUUUACAUUCUGAAGGUAGUGAAAAUACCGGCCCUGUAAGUAGUUCCAGUUGCCAUGAAACGGAAGAAUUAAUAGGAUCCAAUUCCAGUAAAACUGGAGAGAUUCUCUCAGAAUCUUCCAUGGAAGCCACAGAAGUCACAGAUGAACCAAUGGAACAAGACUAACUAUUUAGAAAUAUUUAGAUGCAGUAUUUUCCAUACAGUUCUGGUUUCACACUGUAUAAAACUUUUAUGUAAUAAAGUGGACCUUUAGUUUUACAAGAGAAGCAGGUUGUAAAAUAAAGUACUGUAUGGGAUCAAUCCUGAAAGAGUCGCACAUGUAAGAACUAUACCUGAAGUACACAGAUGAACUUAUAAAACUGAUGCAAACAUUUUCUGACACUGUAUCAUAUGCUCUGGGGUGAUUUGGGCGGCAACCACAAGUUUUGCAUUUUGCCUACUUCAGUUGCUAUGACUAAAAAUACCAAAAUGAGUUGGCUCCGUUUAUGUCUGUAGGAUAUUAUACUACUGACUGACUUGACUGUCAGGUUUACAGCAGCUAGAUGAUAUAUUUGUGAAUAUGUCUCAUAGUUGAAAUAAAAACUGAGUAUUGAUUUAUUUACUGUUAUUCAAGAGGGGAGGAAAAAAAUCACACGUUGUAAAUUUUAAAAAAAAUUUUGCAAAAAUGUUAAUGAAGCAGAUUUUAAAUGUGACAUUGAUUUGUAGUGACCUAGUCUUUAUUUUCUUGAGGGAUAUUUUGCCAAUGAGAGCAGAUUUUAAACAUUUUAAGUUUAGAAAUUUUGAAAUUUUCUUUAGAAUAUUUAUGAAAUUAUUGUCAAUAAACCUAUUCUUUAAGAUUCUGUGACCUUUUGAUAUUUUUUAUUUUAAUUGUGCCAUGGACCACUUGUAAACUGAUUUACUUUUGUUAAAUAUAAGUUGAAGAUUUAGCGUCAUGACUUUGAGGUCUGUGGUUUUAUUUGUAAACUUGCAGUUGCUGUUUUGGCAAGGGCAAAUGUAUUUCUUUAUUAAAUAAAGUACAAUAAUGGUGAAUGUACCAAAAUGCCAUCACUCAACUCUAUGAGAGAUCUGCAUUUUAAUCUAUAGUUUAAUAGUUUUAAUAUUUAUUAGAUAUUCUUAUGUUGAUCAUAGAUCAAACUUGUUGCUGUUUAUACAGAUAGUUGUAGAAUGCUCAUGGAAUAUUUUCUUUAGGAUAGAUGGAAUACUUAGGUAGUUAAACUGGGAAACCUUGUUCAGCUGGUUGGAGAUACAAUGUCCAUUGGGAAGUAAAUUUCCUCGAGUAUAUGCAUAGGUGCACUUACACAGACUUUGCUUCAUGGAAAUGUCAGUUCUAAUAGUAACUGAUUCAGAUGUGUAUUUUUAGAAGGCUAAUUUUAGGCACAUUUUCUUAACACACAUCAGCAAAGUCAUAUUAAAAGAUCUAAAUGAAGAAUUAGGACUUUGGUGAUUAAAAUAUUAUUUUCUGUUUUGGCCUUGAGCAGAUCGUUUACCUUUAAGACUCUAGACUCUGAACCCAACAUGUAAAAAGAAUUUAAAAUGUUGAUGAGGAGAGCGAGAAUAUACAUGGAAUACACUUUCAGCACUUUUCCCUUUUAAGAAAGUGAAAACAUUAUCCCAGUACAUUUUUUAAAAUAUAUCUUCAGUUCUGAAAAUGUUGGCAGACAGAAAUGAGUAGUGGAAAAUGUCAUAUUUUAUAUGUUUGAUUAUCAGAUACAUUUAAUCCACUUAGGGUUUAUUGUAACUACACCUUUCAGAAGUGUGGAUGGAGCAAUGAAAUUGCCUGUCAGAGCUAUAAAACCCUCUGGCUUGGAAAGGCAUCCCCAGAAACCCUGGGUAAGAAGGCGUGGCCUGUUAAAGCAUGGAGGUUCAGAGUGUUUUAUUUUGCUGGUGUAGAUAGGCAUGUACUUAUGCAUUUUUGCAUUUGUAAAGUCAGCAAUUUUUCAAAUAAUGUAAUUGUAAUAUACUAGUUUACUUAUAAAGAUACUUGGGGCAGAAUCUAAAGCUACGAUGUUUGAGUAUGAGAAAUGUAACGUGUGGUAAGGACAAAAAUGCAAUUUGUAGAACCAAAGGAAAUAAAAAUUUUGGAUAGUGUUUCACAAUGUCUUCUGAACAGGAGUUUCUUAAAUACAUUGGUUUUGAUCAGAUGAAGCUUAGUUCUCUCGAGAUCUGUGCUAAUCAUAAAAUGGAUGAAUGCAAAAACACCUUGUAAUUUCAUAUGGAAUUAUUAUAAUUAGGUUUAUUGGACUAUUGGCCUAGCAAGAAUGCUAGUAUGUAUUGGUUAGAAUACAUCUAAUAUUUCACAUUUUAAAAAUAAUUAGUACACUUUCUUCAGAAUUUUAUUUCAUCAACUUGGAGCCUAGAUUACUUUGCCAAAUAAAUGUAUUAUUUUCAUAAUGCAAUAAAAUAUAAA